CGCGCGUUCCCAUUUUGUUGGUUUAUGAGAUCGCCGUAAUGAUUAAUAGGGAUAGUUGGGGGCAUUCGUAUUCCGUCGUCAGAGGUGAAAUUCUUGGAUUGCCGGAAGACGAACUAUUGCGAAAGCAUUUGCCAAGGAUGUUUUCAUUGAUCAAGAACGAAGGAAGGGGGAUCGAAAACGAUCAGAUACCGUUGUAGUCUCUUCUGUAAACUACGCCAAUUGGGGAUCAGCCUAGGAUUUUUAAUGACUAGGUUGGCACCCGAAGAGAAAUCUUUAAAUGAGGUUCGGGGGGGAGUAUGGUCGCAAGGCUGAAACUUAAAGGAAUUGACGGAAGGGCACCACCAGGUGUGGAGCCUGCGGCUUAAUUUGACUCAACACGGGGAAACUCACUAGGUCCAGACACAAUAAGGAUUGACAGAUUGAUAGCUCUUUCUUGAUCUUGUGGUUGGUGGUGCAUGGCCGUUCUUAGUUGGUGGAGUGAUUUGUCUGGUUAAUUCCGAUAACGAACGAGACCUUAACCUGCUAAAUAGACCAGCCGGCUUUGGCUGGCUGCUGUCUUCUUAGAGGGACUAUCAGCGUUUAGCUGAUGGAAGUUUGAGGCAAUAACAGGUCUGUGAUGCCCUUAGAUGUUCUGGGCCGCACGCGCGCUACACUGACAGAGCCAGCGAGUCUACCACCUUGCCGGAAGGCCUGGGUAAUCUUGUGAAACUCUGUCGUGA
rnacentral:rRNA from 1 species